GAUGGGGAAGCUGCCAGGUUUCUACAGUAGCUGCUGGAUAGAGUCACUGAGUCUCAAGGCAGAAGAAAGCUCCUACAUGUGAUGCUGUAUUGGCAAUCAAGACCCAGCCCCAUGAUGUCUGUGCUGCUUUGAAUGUAUUGCUCACAACAAUCAAUUAUACUGGUUGAAUAAAUUCUUUAUUUCAGAUUUAGCUCUGAUGAAUGGCUCUGUCUGAUGCACAAAAGAGUCACAAGCAAAAUACUGGAUCUCGGGGCCAUAUUCUGCCCUCUGAGGUGCUCUUGUGACUCCAUCCCAUUGAAUCUGCUUGUGGAAGGAGAGAAAGGAGCCAGUAACCUGCCCAUAGGAGCGUGGUCCUAUUAGAAAGAAAGGAAAGAGCACUAUGUCUUGUAAAGUGCUGCUCUGCUAAUAGUUCUUCAGCAAGCCUGGUCACUUCGUAUUACUUCUGAGACCACGAACCACUCAAUAUCUUGCAGGCUGUUAUAUAAAUCUAUGACAUUCACUUAGAAACUGGAGCAAAAUCUUCAAAAAAGGAAGAAGUGGGCUGCCAGUAGCCAAACUCCUCCCAUAAGUGAAUUGGAAUCAUGGAAGGGAAAGAACAUCCUUAGAAUUGAAGAGCUAUGUUUCGGGCAAGUAAAGGACAGCAUUGCAUGUAUUAUUUUAUCAUCAUAUAUCUCUAAUGUGGAAUAAUUCCUCUACAAACCUUUAGGAAUAAGAGGGUAAUCUAGUGACUGGUUUUCUUCAGUGUUGCCUUGUCUGCUGAGACCAAGGGAGGGACAUGAAUUUAUCAUGUUGAUAUUUGCAGGAAGCUGAGGUGAUAUCGCCAGGACUCUUCAAGCAUCUGAAGUGCCAAGGCUACAGGAAUCAACUCUUUGUAUUUCAGAAAUGGUGCAGAUAAGAUACAACCAUUCAGAAACACUUCAAAGAAAGCACAUGCUGCCAUUUUUUGUGUUGCGGAGCAACAUGGCAAUGUAGAAGGAAGAACCAGUCCAGUAAAGGCCAGGACUUGAUAGAUGUCACUUCGUGGUCAAAGUGUCCCUCCUCUCAAGUCUUGUCCCGAACCAGCUUCCUUGUAGUCAAAAGUAGUAGUCACUGUGAGACUUGAAAUGCAUUAAUCAAGAGAAAUAUUUCCCUACACACUGUCAGUCUAUGAAGCUGUCCAGCCUUCCUGUCUGAUUUGUAUUACCUUUUCUACUCCUAUCAGUUUGCCAUAGGUUGUAAGUGGUAGAAGUUAAUAAAAUUCUUCAAGAAUAAAUUCUACUGCAAUGGUUCAUUUUACUUAAAUACGUGAUCAGAUGAAAUGCAGCUUCUAAAGAACCCUUUAGAACAAGAGCAAGAUCUGGCAACUUAUUAGAUGCCCUCAAUGACUGUAGUCUUACCGGAGACUUUGAUCAAAGCUUCCUUCAUCUCUUUCAUGCUGCUUACAAAAUUACUCUUUGUAAAAAUGUAGUGUAUGACUUACUUUAACCAAGGAAAGACAAAUUCAUUCUGAAAGCAGGAGAUGACCAAUCUCUGGGCUCGAGUCAUGUGUAGAUCCUGAAUGAUUUUGGAGCAGCCUCUGUGGAGAGGAUAAGCCAAGUGACUGACAUCAGGGCCACACCAGAGAACAUUGUUGUGCUAGUUAUCGACCAUAAUGAAGUGGAAAGGUGACCUUCUGCAGUCCAGUUUCAUUAUUUCAGAAUUGGAGAUGAACUUUCCCCAAAAUUGUAUGGUAUAAUGGGUAUCUCUGCGCUAACCUUCCCACCAGUUCUGUCUGCACACCUACAUUUUAAGCCAUCUGGAAGCUCUCACAGGCCAUGAGCCAUACCUUGAAGCAGGAAAGCCUUCUCUGGGGGAGCUGUGGUGGUUACUGAAGGAAUUCAUCCCUUAUUUAGUCCACAAGAGACAAUUCCCAUCACUGCUGAACUGCAGGUACUGCUCAGUUGCCAUUCUGCAACUGCUGUGCUACACUGCAGUAUUUCAGGAGGAAAAGUGGGGAAUGACUUUUCCAUUUGAAGCCAUAUGAAGGGAUUCAGCCAGACAGCAUGUAAUUACCCUAGCUGGAGCUGGGCCAAGGGAGAGGAUCUGUGGCUCCCCAUCUGCAGGCUUAUUUUCAGCACUUCAAAUGAGAAAUCGCAAGGAACACUUAAAAAUUAAUGAAACAAACUCAGUUUCAGUCUGGACAUCUCCUCCAUCAUGCCCACAUCAGAGACAAAUAACUCACCAAUAUGGUGUACCCUGGACUACCCUUCAAAGGCUCAGCUUGCAAGCCCAAAUGAAAGAGCAGCUGGAGGCAAGGAGCCUUUCCCAUUCAUUCAGGCUGAAGUCAGAUGGGAAAUGUUGGCUUCAUUUCAGUACAGCAGGACGAAUACCAUGAUGCUCCACCAUCUUCCUCAGCAGGGUCUUGUUUCAUCCAUCCCUUCUGGGACCGUCAGUGGCAGCUUUGCCCUCUGCCAUAGCCGAAAGCAGCCGUGUCCAGCAGAGUGGGUCACGCAUGGUGGAGUUAGAUUCAACUCCAUCCUAGCUCUCAGCUCUUCCUACCUGAAUGAUCUGGAUUUGCUAUUACUGGUGAUAGGCUCAGGGAAGGGAAGUGUGUAGGAACAUCUUUUUAUUUUUGUGUUUUCUCCUUGUACCAUUAUUUAGCCUUACUGUAAACAUCCAUGCUUACUCAUGUAUUCCUACAGCAGAUGUAAAAAUAUCUCCCUCCCUCCAUUUCCAAUGCUGUAUCUUGCAGACCUGAAAUGACCCUGUAUGAGAGGGUCAUGACAGCACAGUCUAAUGGAGAAGAAAAAUGGCAAUGAGGUAAUGUAGCAAAAGCAACUGUCUGAAAGAGCUGCUCACCAAUUGUGUUUGCUCUUGCAAUUCAGGCUACUUGUAUUGUCAUCCAGCUCCAGGGCUGAAGGGCUUUUAUUGGUGCAACCCUGUGAAAUCCAUGGAUUUUAUCCCAGGAUGGCUGCAGUGAGUGCUGUGGAUGAUGGGCGCAGUCUCACGUUCACGUGCCAGCUGCACCAGCCCUGUGAGCCCAGAGGAGCUGUGCUCAUUCACACCAAUGAGCACCAUGAUAUGAAAUUUAUAACAAUGACAAUUGGGAACCAGAGGUGGUUUUGUGGAAGGAUUGUUACUUACUGCUUAAAUAGAAAUAUCUUAUUCUUACAGGCAUGGAAAAUGCGGCACUACAGUAAAUCUGGGCAGAUCCUGUAAGAUUUUGUUCCAAGAUGGAAUAAUGCCUUUCUUGAUGCCUUAGGGCCACCAUCACCAUAAGCCACAGUUGUUUGUUUUCAUCAGGUUCAUCUGAAUCUGGAUCAGAUCCCUUGCUCUGCUUUGCCAUGCGUGAGCUGAAACAAAGUGAUGGGACAGGACGAAGCAAUGCGGGACAGGAAUGGCUGUUUUGGUGGCAGAGCCAGCUUACAUUGAUUUAAAGUGAUCACAGUACUGUCAUACAAGAUAGGCAAUUGCUCAUGUUCUUCACUGCUUCUGGUCAAGGACACACCUACAACUAUUUGGUUGCUUAACCAAGUGGUUUCCUAAGCUCAUUUUUGUAUAGGUUACCCAUGUAACCAACAGUGAAUAAAGAAAACUGGUGUGUCAAAUAGCAAGAAAUUGUAACUGGCAACUGCCAAUUGUAGUUUUUAGCAUAUAUAGGCCAUAAGAGCUUCUAAUUUUCCAUUCCUCUGGUUAGGUUUUUAAAUGUAAUGAUGAAAUAAAUGACCCAUUAUCAAUGCGUUCCCACAGAAUAACUUCAACAACAGUACAAGAUGCAAUCCACUUGCAAAUGUCUAAUCCAGUUAUUCUGUGGGUUUUUUUAGAUAGCCUUCCUGAGGUGAAAUAACAAUUUUUAAAAAGUGGAUGGUCAAAAUUUAACAUGUUGAGGAGCAGAGGUUCCCCUCCUACUUCCCUGUGCUUGUGAACUGAGUUUGCAGGGAUGGUGGGUGUCAUGCGGUACUUGGGUAUAGUUUGCUUCACCUGUCAUAUGCCUUAACUUACCAUAGUGUUUUGCAUUUGGGUCAGCUGUAUUUUUAUCAAGCAUUAACAUGCAUAAGGGUUUGCCAGUACUUAAUAAAAAUGCUACAGAAAACUGCA